rnacentral:tRNA from 1 species
UACUAUAAGGUGUGUAGCAUAUUAAAUUUUGAUUUUAGAGGAUUAAUAUAGUAU